rfam:Mesocricetus auratus contig160295, whole genome shotgun sequence.
GGGUCUAUAAUGACAAAUCAAUGUCAUGAAAAGAAAUGAUGAUAUACAAAUCAUGCUCAAUAGGAUUAUGCUCAGGCCC